rnacentral:ncRNA from 2 species
GUAGGACAAGUAAUAUAUAGUGUUCGAUAUCAGAGAGCUUGUGGUUAGUGUGAACAAGAAUCAACAUAUAUAUGAAUCUACCUACUUAUUUAAAAGAACAAUCGGUGAUAACCGUUAUUUUAGUGAAGUGCAAUUUAGGUUUAGUGUAUCUUUAUAACUUAAAUUGUUAAAUAGGGUGGCAACGCGUAGACCACGUCCCUUGUAGGGAUGUGGUCUUUUUUUAUUUUCUAAA